rnacentral:rRNA from 1 species
GGCCAGCAUCGGUUUAGGCGGUAGGAUAAUGGUGAAGGAACGUAGCUCUGCNUCGGUGGAGUGUUAUAGCCUGUUACUGAUACUACCUGCUUAGNNCGAGGACUGCGUCUNUUGACUAGGAUGUUGGCGUNAU